CACACCCCAGCCACCCCCUCCCACCUGAGCUCCGUCCCACCCUUUCUGCCCACUGGUACCUGCAGGCCUCGUCCUGAAGGCCAGGGGCUGACUCCAGGGGCUCCAAGUCUUGUGGCUGCCUCUCUGGGCCCUGACCCGCACUUGAAAUUCAUACAGGGUGUCUGGACAUGUAUCAAUGUCCCGUAGUCUCCAAUCUCUGCCUCUGCAGACCGUCUCCCACUCCCCUCCAUGUGGGCUUCCUGAACGCAGGAAGCUCCCAGUUUUGCCCUCCACCCGCUUCCCCAGCACCCAGCGCCCAGUCAGCACCCAGCGGGUAGUAAAUAUUCAGGAGCUCACAGCCCAGUAAGGGAAACGUGCUGUAGCCAUAAUCAGGCAGUGAGAACCCUGAAAGAAGAUAAAUACCCUGAAGGAGGAAGUACAAGGGACCGGGAGAGUCUGGGAAGGCUUCCUGGAGGAGGAGACUCUUCCCUGAGCCUUGAAGGGUCAAACGGUCUCGGUCACAAGUCGUUGCCUCCUGUGAAAGCAGCCGGACACAACCCGCGGGAGACUGCGCAUGGCUGAUGGCACCUGCCGCUGAAACUUCACUUACAGAGACAGACAGCUGAAUGUUCCCGGGGCCUGAGGUGAAGUGAGCUGCCGUGGGAGGGAGGGAGCCCCCCAGCGCAAAGGCGUGCGAGCCGGAUGAGCCCCCGAGAAAACUACCUGUGCACCAGCUUUGAGGGUGAACGCUUCCCCUCCCCCACACCCCCAACCCUGACUUUUGGGGAAGGAAAUGGUCAGGUGUUGAGCAUCCCCUGUGGGCAGGCACGGCUCGGGUGCCCCAGACACUUGUCUGGCUGAUUCUUCGAGCCAUCCGUCCUCCUACGGCAGGGGAGAAACUCAAAGUCACGCAUCCGGUCAGCAGAGGAGUCCGGAUUCAAACCCAGGCCUCUGCAGCCACUGCCCUACGGAGACUGCAGGCCGGGGCCGUGACGCCUGACCCAGGGCGGCCGAGGGAGCAGCCUACGGCUCACAGGGGGCGGCGUUCUCAGGUCCGGGAGCCCAGGCACGGGCCCACCAUGAGCAAACCUUGAACCUGAGCUGGGUGCAGUUCCCAUCUCCCCGCUGCUGGGGGCCUGCCCCUGCCUCCCUCAGCUGCUGGCGGUGCGGGGGGCUGAUGCUUCCAGAUAAUAAUGGUAGGUCUUGCUAAGGUCACAGAUCAUAGAGGUGCCAGGAAUGCUUUGUCCUCCAUGCCAGGCACUUCUGCGUGCUGGUCACAUGUUGUCUCAUUUAAUUCCCUCAACACCCUACGAGACAGACACUGUCACUCUUCUCACCCUGGAGCUGAGAAGACUGAAGCUCAGAGUGGCUAGGGAUGUGCCUGAGGUCACACAGCUAGGAAUCGGUGGGGACAGGUCCUGAAGCCAGACCCCCUGCAGACCUCGCAGGGACUGGUUCCAGAGGCUGCGCCUGAAUCAGCCCCGCCAUGUGAGCCCAUCUCCACGUCCUCCUGCCACUUACAAAUGGGUAUGAGCUGAUGAUGGCUGGAACUUGUGGUGUGGGCAUCCCUGCUGCCUGCCGCUGCCAAGCAGGGCGUGACAGAUGGUGAUGUGCUGCCCACCCGCAUGGACACGGCUGCACACCCAUCUAGAGGGUUCAAUCCCAGCUCUGCCCACCACUGGCAGCGCCUCUCUGGGCCUGUUUCCUCAUUGGGAAGAAGAGGAUAGCGCUGGUGCCCACCCACAAAGUCAUAGGGAUCCACAGGCUAUAAAGUCAAGUGCAUGCUCUGUGGUGGGUGGCACGUCAGGUGCUUUAACCCACAGAACACUAUGACACAGGUGCCAUCGUUAUUGCCAUUUCGAGAAGGGAAGCCUGGGACUCAGCACUUGCCCAGUGUCACCAGGCUUCUGUGACAAUGGAGCCAGGGCUGGCACCCAGGCCAGCUCCAGGAUCCAUGCUUUUAAGCCCACACUGCCCUGCACUUGCCAAGACCUUGGAAGAGUCUGAGGAGGGUGUUAUUGGUGGGCGCUCCCCAACCUGAUGAGGAGUACAGAAGUGUCACAGGACCCACAAAGCAUGGGGGAGAUGGGGGAGAAGAGGCCGAAUGGCCGAGCCCCUUGCACCACAGAUACCCUCCUCCACACCAUCAGUCUGAGCUCUGGCCUUUGGACGCUGCUCUUCUUCCUCCCACCUCUCUUGCCCCCGGGGCAGCCCCCUGUGCUGCAGCCCAGAGCCAAAGCCACUGGGCUCACUGGGCCCCAGCUCUGCCCCUGGAAGGACACCCCUCUGCACCCUGGGCUCUCUUCUCAGCUCCCACUACUCACAUCUGGGGAUCCGAGGAUCAGGUAACAGGCCCAGAAUGCCGGUCGCAUAGGGAGCAGCUCACAGGAUUUGUUCCAAGGCCUGUCAAGGCAAAAGAAACUCCUUAGGACAAAAGGAGGGACCCCCAGAGCUGGCCCUCGGGAUGGCCCCCGCUGCAGCAAGGCCAGCCUGUGCCGGGCUCUAUGCCGACCUCGGGAGAGGCACCCAUUCCCCACCUGCUCCACUUCCCAUCACCAGCGCCUCUUUCUACCCUGCCCAGCCUGGCCCCGCAGUAGCCACAGUGAUCUUCUAGAAACAAGCAGUCCAGGACAUGUUGGCCUCCCCAUCUAAAGCCCUCCAGUCUUCCCAUGAGGCUGGAUGAAGCCUUUGGAACCCUGUGGAAUCACCACCCACCCAAGACCACAGCCAAACUGCAAGCCACCUUUGCUGUUGCCACAUUUGGAUCACAGCAACCCUAUUCCUGAAUCCCAACCAUGCCCCAGGCCCCUGUCCCCACAGCUGCCCUAGGAGUCUCUCAAAAAGCUUGGGGAGCCCUCUUUCUUCCCCCUGCGUGCUUCUAAUGUCGAGUCUAACUAUGGCCCAGGAGUCUCACAGCCCAGUGUCCCCCAAACUACCCCGGCCCCUCCACCAAAGCCUGGACCCCCAGUCCUCCCUCCCGCCCUGGUUCCAGGAGUCUAAACUUCUAACUCCUGUGUUUUCCAGUCUUCUGUGAUACCAGAGUCCGUGGGUCCUAUCAAUCCAAAUUCUCAAGUGCAGCAUCUUGGAGUCUAUUAGAAAGAAUUCUAAGAGUCUAAACGUCAGUGAUUAGAGCCCCCCAUCCUGAGACGCUGCAGCUUUGCUGGUCAACCCCCCACACUUACCGUCUAUCUGGCUGAGCAUGGAUCUUGCAGGAUGUGGCCUGAAGGUCCCCAUCCCAGCUCCAGAUGCAGGAGAUGUUGGCUUUUGAGUUGUAGAAGCAUGUGAGCUUGGAAGUGUCUGCUGACAAGACGAGGCAUGAGUUGCUGGCUGGGGGGUACCUAGGGACCUCCGGGGCCCGCCCACCACCCAGCUCCCUGCUCCCUGCUCCCUGCAUCCUGUGCCUGCCAGAUGAGGAGGUGGGCAGCCCUGGUGGGCAGCAAAGAACUCAGUGGAUCCAUUUCAGAGAGGACAACACUGAGCCCAGCGCCUGCAAGGUCCCUCAGGCAGGCCGAGGCAGGGCAGGCAUGAAAAGCCAGGGUCUUCCUUUGGCUGGAGGAGACACAGGGGUGCAGCAGGGACAGGACAGAUGGGCCAAGGGGGAAAGUGGUGCACCUGAUCUCUGGUCCCAUUGCCCUCGCCUCCUCCCUCCCCAGCCUCCUGCCCCAGUUGAUGGGCCUCUGCCCAGAAGCAGGGGUCCUGAAAGGGAUCCGACAGGGGUUUGUCCACCUGCCAAGAGAAAGCACAGCUGUCCAGGUGCCGGGGUCCUCACCAUUCACCACUGAGGAUGCCUGAAGGAUGGCCAGGGGCAGGAAGAGGACAAGGAGGGGCAGACAGGAGGACAGAGCAGGAGCUGCCAUCAUAUCCACGGGUGGGAGCCGGGGAAGGGAGCCCUAGAGGGGGGAAGAGGGGAAGAAAGCACAAGUGAACACCUGCUCCAGGUCCCUGCCCCUCUCAGGGUGCCCCAGUCUGCUCUCCACCCAGCAGCACCAGCCAGCCUCGGCGUUUUGCACCUGCUGGCCCCUCGGGCCCACGCAUACUCCCUCCCUUCGGGGAUUCGGGGACCCACACUCUGUCAGACACUGUCACACACUCGCUCUCCCUGAGCGAGCCCAACCCCUUGUUCAAAAGCCGAGGAAACUGAAGCCCAGGGAAAGGAAAGAUUUGUUCUAGUCUACGUGGGGUAGUCAGCACAGAGCCAGGAUUAGGGCUUGCCUCCUCUUGGCCCUGCUGCUCCCUAGUCACCCCUGAAAGUGGCAUCAGGAGGCUCCUAGAUGCCAGGCUGUCUUAAACUCUUUAAAUGAAGCAAGAAGCACAUCCAUUGGAGAUACUCUUAUUAUCUGCAUUUUCAGGCGGGGAAACUGAGGCACAGUGCUGUAACUGGCCAAGGCCACACAGCUGAUAAGAAGCAGAUGUGGGGGAUCCCUGGG